UACUGAUGCUGAAAGAUCCUAUCCAGACAUGUGUCAUGUGACCAUCUCAACCAAUCACUAUACACAUGUAUUCCGGAGCACGUGUGGAUAUCUGCAUGGAAGACAGCUUUCGAGAGUCUGUUCUCUCUCCCGGGAGUCAAAUCCAGAAAAUGAGGCACAGCUCUAAGGAAGCCUGCCAGAAAUGUGAUCGCUCUGAAACGCACCGUGAUCCAGAUUCGCCUCAACAGCCACCUCCAGACUCGAACUAGAAUCUUUUUCCUUGAUCUAGAGUCUAACCCCUACCUUCUUUUUCUCCCUUUUCCUCUUUAAGGGUCAUUAUGUAAAGCCAGAGUUUGUAAAUACUCAUUUGUGUAAUAAAUAAAAUGUUCAUAGAUGGUUAUGCCCCACCUCAUUCCGUUUUCUAUGAAAUUAAAAAAAGGAAGAGUUAAGU
rnacentral:lncRNA from 1 species